AGUGAACGCUGGCGGUAGGCCUAACACAUGCAAGUCGAACGGCAGCACAGUAAGAGCUUGCUCUUACGGGUGGCGAGUGGCGGACGGGUGAGGAAUACAUCGGAAUCUACUUUUUCGUGGGGGAUAACGUAGGGAAACUUACGCUAAUACCGCAUACGACCUACGGGUGAAAGAAGGGGAUCUUCGGACCUUGCGCGAUUGAAUGAGCCGAUGUCGGAUUAGCUAGUUGGCGGGGUAAAGGCCCACCAAGGCGACGAUCCGUAGCUGGUCUGAGAGGAUGAUCAGCCACACUGGAACUGAGACACGGUCCAGACUCCUACGGGAGGCAGCAGUGGGGAAUAUUGGACUAUGGGCGCAAGCCUGAUCCAGCCAUACCGCGUGGGUGAAGAAGGCCUUCGGGUUGUAAAGCCCUUUUGUUGGGAAAGAAAAGCAGUAGGUUAAUACCCCGCUGUUCUGACGGUACCCAAAGAAUAAGCACCGGCUAACUUCGUG
rnacentral:rRNA from 1 species